rnacentral:rRNA from 1 species
UACGUAGGGGGGCGAGCGUUGUCCGGAUUCAUUGGGCGUAAAGAGCUCGUAGGCGGUUUGUCGCGUCUGCUGUGAAAACCCGAGGCUCAACCUCGGGCCUGCAGUGGGUACGGGGCAGACUAGAGUGCGGUAGGGGAGAUUGGAAUUCCUGGUGUAGCGGUGGAAUGCGCAGAUAUCAGGAGGAACACCGAUGGCGAAGGCAGAUCUCUGGGCCGUAACUGACGCUGAGGAGCGAAAGCGUGGGGAGCGAACAGG